rnacentral:snoRNA from 1 species
UUGCAAUGAUGAAUACCUUUUAGCUUUUUUUCUGGCAUCUCUAAUGUUAGGGUGGGUGUUUAAGUACUCUCCACUCGAUGAAUACAACUUUUGACAAAAACCUGAGC